rnacentral:lncRNA from 1 species
UCACUGAUGCUUGAUAAUGUAGAGAAAUAGACUAGAUAUCAGAGAGUGAGGGUUUACAACUUUAACAGCUAUUUGUUUUCUUUACAGAUGGGAAGGUUGAAGUGACAAAAGAAGGUGUAAAGCUGUGCACCAUGGGACCUGGCAAAGUAUUUGGGGAGCUAGCCAUCCUUUACAAUUGCACCCGAACAGCAACUGUCAAAAGGCAAGAGCAAGGUCACUUCUACUGCUAUCCUGAAAGGGACCUUUCUUUAAGAAAAAAGUGGGCAACACUAUUUGUUAAGUCUUCUUUUGAUUUCUCUCUGGCAUAUAAAAAUGAUGAAUCACUUCCCAUUUCAUUGCACAAUAUGAAGAGAAGCAUGAUGUCAAUGUUUGUGACUCAAUAUAUUUGACUACCUUCACAACUCAAUCAAGAAGGACUUACGGAUUGACAGGCAUGUUUGGGCAGUUAUUGUUAUGUAAUGAAUGUAGCAUUAGACAUCACCCUAUUUUUUUUACCAUAGCACGACUAAAUUUCCUGGUCCUUGCUUGUGCUGCUCCAUCAGACCAUGCAUCAAUGCAAUGUUUAUGCUCAGUGAUAUUUUCUAUGAUAAAUUCAUUCAGUUUGUUAAAAUUCUGCCAUCUUGAUAGAGCUUAAUACCACAAGAACUCUUCUUUAAUGAUUAUUUUCCAUUUAAGCUUUAUGUACAUAAGUUACUGAGAAAAAAUGAUGAUGCCAUUUGCUCUGGACCCCUCUCUUCUAUCCUCAACUGCUCUGUGCUUAGAGGCAAGGCAUAUGACCCAUUCCACUAUAUGGGAGAUACAAAGAGGUCAUACCACUACUUUGUACAAACAGUUCCAGAAUGUGACAUUUCAGCAGUUUCAGCAUCAUGCUCUAACUCUCCUAGCCAAGGAAAACUAUUUCAUAUAGUAUGCAAAGGAUGAAUAAAACUGGAGCCAUGGACA